UACGGGGGGGGCAAGCGUUGUUCGGAAUUACUGGGCGUAAAGGGCGCGUAGGCGGCCUUCUAAGUCGAACGUGAAAUCCCCGGGCUCAACCCGGGAACUGCGUCCGAUACUGGAAGGCUUGAAUCCGGGAGAGGGAUGUGGAAUUCCAGGUGUAGCGGUGAAAUGUGUUGAUAUCGGAAGGAACGCCGGUGGCGAAAGCGACACACUGGAUCUUGUCUGACGCUGAGGCACGAAAGCCAGGGGAGCGAACGGG
rnacentral:rRNA from 1 species